CGCGGGGGCAACCCUGGCGGCGAGCGGCGAACGGGUGAGUAAUGCAUCGGAACGUGUCCUCUUGUGGGGGAUAACCAGUCGAAAGACUGGCUAAUACCGCAUGAGCUCGAGAGAGGAAAGCAGGGGACCCGCAAGGGCCUUGCGCGAGAGGAGCGGCCGAUGCCCGAUUAGCUAGUUGGUGGGGUAACGGCCUACCAAGGCGACGAUCGGUAGCUGGUCUGAGAGGACGACCAGCCACACUGGGACUGAGACACGGCCCAGACUCCUGCGGGAGGCAGCAGUGGGGAAUUUUGGACAAUGGGGGCAACCCUGAUCCAGCCAUGCCGCGUGUGUGAAGAAGGCCUUCGGG
rnacentral:rRNA from 1 species